rnacentral:rRNA from 1 species
UACGUAGGGGGCAAGCGUUGUCCGGAUUUAUUGGGCGUAAAGAGCGUGUAGGCGGCCAAGCAGGUCAGCUGUGAAAACUCGAGGCUCAACCUCGAGACGUCGGUUGAAACCGCUUGGCUAGAGUCCGGAAGAGGAGAGUGGAAUUCCCGGUGUAGCGGUGAAAUGCGCAGAUAUCGGGAAGAACGACCCGUGGCGCAAGGCGGUUCUC